CUUUUCCUCCCCUUUCUCUCUUCUUUCCCAGUAAAAGUAGAUUUUUACGUCUAGGAGUAUAGGAAAACUGUUGACAAAGACAAGCCAGAAGGACACCAGCGACUGUGCUUUACCACCUCAUGUGCAGAGAGUCCAGCACAGGAAGCCCUGUUCCGUUCAGUCUGGUGUAAAUCCCAUGUGCAACCACGUGCUUUGCGGGAAGCUGAUUCUGCUUCAGGGCAACUGAAACCUAACAUCAAGGGAAGCCUUCCUCCUGUCUCAGGCACCCACAUGACUUCUUUGGAGCAAGACCACUGCUGCUUGUGUGUACAUCCAGUGUUCUGGAAAUAGCUAACUACCAGCUUAACUUCAACUCCUCUGUCCAUGGGAUUUUCCAGGCGAGAAUACAGAAGUGGGUUGCCAUUCCCUUCUCCAGGGGAUCUUCCAGACCCGGGGAUCGAACCCAGGUCUCCUGCAUUACAGACAGAUUCUUCACCAUCUGAGCCGCUAGGGAUACCCAACUACCAGCUUUACUCAGGUCAUUUCACUUUCUCCUUGUUUUUUCCCUCCCUUGUUCUUCCUGUAAUACAAAGACAUCUCUCCUUUACUUACUUUUAAAAAGUAAAGUCAUUGAAUUGUACACUUUGGUUGGUAAAUUUUUAUGGUCUGUGAAUUGCAUUUCAAUUUAAUAAACAGUAACCUUAGAGUCUGGGGACUGAUUAGGAGAGAAAAGAUGAAGAGUGGAAUACUUUCAUCUUUAUAUCAUCAGAGGUGGCUAGAGAGGUUCUCCAAAGAUUUUCGCAGCUUGGGUUAAAAACAUAUUUUUAUGGAGUAUUUAGAAGGAGGAGCCUGUGGUGAGCCUGACAGGGUUCCUGCUACAUAGUUAAGUUCACUGGGGUGAUGAAUCUCAGCAUGAGGAGGGUGAACAGCAGGUCAGUAAUUG
ensembl:lncRNA